rnacentral:rRNA from 1 species
GAUGAACGCUGGCGGCGUGCCUAAUACAUGCAAGUCGAGCGAACAGACGAGGAGCUUGCUCCUCUGACGUUAGCGGCGGACGGGUGAGUAACACGUGGAUAACCUACCUAUAAGACUGGGAUAACUUCGGGAAACCGGAGCUAAUACCGGAUAAUAUAUUGAACCGCAUGGUUCAAUAGUGAAAGACGGUUUUGCUGUCACUUAUAGAUUGAUCCGCGCCGCAUUAGCUAGUUGGUAAGGUAACGGCUUACCAAGGCGACGAUGCGUAGCCGACCUGAGAGGGUGAUCGGCCACACUGGAACUGAGACACGGUCCAGACUCCUACGGGAGGCAGCAGUAGGGAAUCUUCGGCAAUGGGCGAAAGCCUGACGGAGCAACGCCGCGUGAGUGAUGAAGGUCUUCGGAUCGUAAAACUCUGUUAUUCGGGAAGAACAACUGUGUAAGUAACUAUGCACGUCUUGACGGUACCGAAUCAGAAAGCCCCGGCUAACUACGUG